rnacentral:lncRNA from 13 species
UUUGUAGAACCUUGGGACACUUGAUUUGCAGAGAAUGCUUGGACACCUAUAUAUUGGAGUGAGACAUUUAUCAUUCCCCAGCUAUAAUAUUAAAGAGACCCCAGAGAGAUCCUGUGGCCCUUGCUCCACGUGAGAACAGAGUGAGAAGACAGCCAUCUGUGAGGAAUUGGGUCCUCACCAGACAGCAAAUCUGCCUGAGCUAUGACCUGAGACUUUUCAGCCUCCAGAACUGUGAGAAAUAAAUUUCUGUGUUUUUUGAAAGCCA